rnacentral:rRNA from 1 species
GCACAAGCAGUGGAGUAUGUGGUUUAAUUCGAAGCAACGCGAAGAACCUUACCAGGUCUUGACAUCCGAUGCAUAGCGCAGAGAUGCGUGAAGUCCUUCGGGACACCGAGACAGGUGGUGCAUGGUUGUCGUCAGCUCGUGUCGUGAGAUGUUGGGUUAAGUCCCGCAACGAGCGCAACCCUUAUUGCCAGUUACUACGUAAGAGGACUCUGGCGAGACUGCCGUUGACAAAA